rnacentral:tRNA from 1 species
GGUGAUAUAACUCAGUGGUGCAGCACAUGCUUAGCAUGCAUGAUGUCCUGGGAUCAAUCCCCAGUACCUCUA